rnacentral:lncRNA from 1 species
UGUCUGACACCAGGCCAUUAGGCUGUUCUUGUCUUGAGUCAAGACACCAUAUUGCCUGACACUGUUAGGUUCUACUCCGGUACGGUACUCGGAUACGGAGGCAGAGAAAAUCUCCGACCAGAUGUAUUCACCCAACAGGAUACCCUCAGCUGUAUAGCAGCACAGUGCUACAGAGCCAGUCUUAUCUACAGUACCUGGGGUGAAUGUCUCAGCAGGAUGGGACAGGCUGGACCAGAUGGCUGUUUGGCUCUGAUCUCCCUUCAGAUACCAUUCUGAUAUCUGCAUCUUGUCAUUCUCACUUCUCUCCCCAACUGCUACGUUGAAAGCCAUCAUCUCACUUCCCACAGAAACUAGCCAUUUGGACAGUAACUUAACCUUGACCCUAUCAUAACCCUGACAGAAGGUUUCUAUUGACCUUUAGGGAAUCAUUCAUGCAGUCCGAAGCAGUCCCCUAUCCCUAUGCCUAAAUACAAUGCACAUAGAUUCACCCAAUCCCAUAACAGGAUGAUUACUACGGAUUAUUCUAGAAAAGGUUAUAGUGUCAUAACGGCCUCCAACAGCACCGUUGAAUUUGUCUUACAAUGUUGGGAAAAGCUUUCUCCAAUAUUCUGCUAUUUUAUACUGAAAGAUACAUUUCUGUAGCUCAAAGAAAGGAAAACCGCUUAUGAUCGGCAGAUAUUUUAUUUUGAUUUAACCUUUAUUUAACUAGGCAAGUCAGUUAAGAACAAAUUCUUAUUUACAAUGACGGCCUACCAAAAGGCAAAAAGACCUGAGGGGACAGGGGCUGGGAUUAAAAAUAUCUUUCUAUUAUGGUUUUAUUUGGUAAAUCAAGUGAGGUUGGUUGCAUAAAACAAGUAUGAAAGACUAUUUUACUAUAUACAAAUUACACUUCCAUCAGAGGUUAAUGUUUGUGAAUAUAUAAAGCACAUUAUAUUUGCAUAUCAGUCAAUACAUUGACAGAUCUGUCUUGGGGAUUUAACCAGAAGCUAACUAAAUGCUAUUGUCGAUCCAUAGACUACAAUACUAGCGUUGUAGCCAUUAGAUUACGUGAAUGUGUCAUGCCUUGCUACCCAGGAACCAAACACAUAGAACAGAAGGGACCAGGGAAAAACAAACAAGGAUCAUUAUGUUCCAGAAGUGCUUUUAUCUUUAGACUGAGCAGCAGUUUUUCCAGGUCACUGGGUAGUUGUGUGUGGGUGGGAACAUACUUCUCACAGAGAGAAAAAGGGAGGGAGAGAAUCAGUCUGUCUCUCUAGCUCUGAACCAGGUAACAGGUUGCUGCUGCCUGUCUCUCUAGCUCUGAACCAGGUAACAGGUUUCUGCUGCCUGUCUCUCUAGCUCUGAACCAGGUAACAGGUUUCUGCUGCCUGUCUCUCUCUAGCUCUGAACCAGGUAACAGGUUUCUGCUGCCUGUCUCUCUCUAGCUCUGAACCAGGUAACAGGUUUCUGCUGCCUGUCUCUCUAGCUCUGAACCAGGUAACAGGUUUCUGCUGCCUGUCUCUCUCUAGCUCUGAACCAGGUAACAGGUUUCUGCUGCCUGUCUCUCUAGCUCUGAACCAGGCAUCAGGUUUCUGCUGCCUGUCGGCCUGUCUCUCUAGCUCUGAACCAGGUAACAGGUUUCUGCUGCCUGUCGGCCUGUCUCUCUCUAGCUCUGAACCAGGCAUCAGAUUUCUGCUGCCUGUCUCUCUAGCUCUGAACCAGGCAACAGGUUUCUGCUGCCUGUCGGCCUGUCUCUCUCUAGCUCUGAACCAGGCAUCAGGUUUCUGCUGCCUGUCGGCCUGUCUCUCUCUAGCUCUGAACCAGGCAUCAGGUUUCUGCUGCCUGUCGGCCUGUCUCUCUCUAGCUCUGAACCAGGUAACAGGUUUCUGCUGCCUGUCUCUCUAGCUCUGAACCAGGUAACAGGUUUCUGUUUUAUUCAACUCAUGAAUGAAUGUUCCCAUAUUGCUGCCUGGCAACCAGCCAGUAUCAGGAGAAAAGGGAACAUCUUGUUCCGUUAGUUAUGCUGCACAGAGUAGAACAGGCUGUGGCCAAAGUUAUGAAAUGAAGAAAGGAAGGGAGGGGAAAAUUAACAAUAGAAAAAGGAGAGUAGGAGCAGAGGGUGUAUAACUGGACUGUGUGUUUGAUUGAAUUCAUAUCUUAUACCAAUGUAUGGAAUAAUAUAAAGGGAGGGUCUUUUCAAUCCAUAUCGCGGAAGUUCAGCGUUACGUCACGAUUUAAAUUUAAAAGGCAAUGUUAGUGGAGAGUGCAUUCACGGUAAACGCUGUAAUAUGUCGACUCAAUCAGAAAUGACCUUUAAAUUUAUAGCGUGCAAUCUGUAACGCCUCAGCGAAUAGAGAUUGAAUAAAGGCUGAAGUCUGUUUUUAGAGAGCGCUUGCAGAAAUGGCAUUUUUCAGGGUAGGAUAGGGAGUGACGCAAAAUGUAAAACAUGUUCGACACCGACUGGCUUGAUCAAGUCCAUAUUUCUGUGCUGAGAGGACAGACAGAGUGGAAGAUGUCUUCUCCCUCGUCUUCCUCUUGGAGUCUUUCCCUCUUUGUGUUUCAACCUGUUGAUUGGUGGUGGUGUGACUCUACUGGACCGCUCUGUUGGCUGGGGGGCGCUGGACCGGGGGCGCUGGACCCGGGGCGCUGGACCGGGGACGCUGGACCGGGGGCGCUGGACCGGGAGCU